UAUUUCAGUGUCUGACUUCCUUUUCUAAACUCUGGAUGGCUUUCCCAGUGGUUCCUAACCUGAGGUCUCCCAAGGAGUCAUCAGGGAUAGAAGCACGGAUCCUUGAAUUUAAAUGACAGGAAAGACACACAUUUACUUUUACAAACUACGUGCUAAAUUCAGUAUUUUCUUCCAUCUUGAAUGCAGGUGAUUAACAAGGUAGCAUUAGGUAUUAUACUGGGUAAUAUUAGACAAUACAUUAGGCAUUACAUUAGAAACAGAACUACUUAUUUCUACACAUCUGUAGGUCACCUGGAUAUAAACGAAGACAACUCUGAUUUUAGAGAACUCAGAAUUUUAAAUCCAGGACACAAUACUUUUCACAUGUGUCACUGUGGACAAGAAGGCAGGGGACAUUUAACAGAGGUUCCACAAAUCACACAAAACAAGGAAGGGCAAAAUGGUAACGCGCUGUCUAACCUGUGACAGGAGGACAUUGCAUUAGUCCGUAAAUCGAGUACUGACAAAGAUAAAAAUUAGCAGAGACAUUAAGAGCAGUGGGUCUAGGGUAAACAUGUUCCUGGAUUUGGUCUAACUCUUCCAUGUACUAGCUGUGAGAGCCUGGGCAUUUCACUUCUGUAUCAGUUUUCUCACUUAAAGAAUGGAAAUGCUGGUCUCUCAGGGAAUUACUCAGAGGAGUAAAUUAAAUAGUGCACACACAGACUUAGUACAAUCACUACUAGCACAUUAACACUCGACAAUUUUGAUAAUUUCUAUUCCAUGAGCUGGACAAACACAGAAACA